rnacentral:misc_RNA from 1 species
UCGAGCGUCAUUACAACCCUCAAGCUCUGCUUGGUAUUGGGCCUCACCGGCAACGGUGGGCCUUAAAAUCAGUGGCGGUGCCAUUCGGCUUCAAGCGUAGUAAUUCUUCUCGCUUUGGAGAUCCGGGUGAGUGCUUGCCAGCAACCCCCAAUUUUUUACAGGUUGACCUCGGAUCAGGUAGGGAUACCCGCUGAACUUAA